GCCGGGAUGGCGUAGUGGUUAGCGCAUCUGCCUGACGAGCAGGAGACCCAAGUUCGAAUCCUGGCCUAGGUA